rnacentral:rRNA from 1 species
GACGAACGCUGGCGGCGCGCUUAACACAUGCAAGUCGAGCGGAAAGGCCUGCUUUCCCUUGUGGAUUGCGGGUACUCGAGUGGCGAACGGGUGAGUAACACGUGAGUGAUCUGCCCCCAACUUGGGUAUAAGCCUGGGAAACUGGGUCUAAUUCCCGAUAGGACUGCAGGGUGGUGACUGUGGUGGAAAACGAUUUUCUAGUGGUUGGGGAUGAGCUCGCGGCCUAUCAGCUUGUUGGUGGGGUAAUGGCCUACCAAGGCGGCGACGGGUAGCCGGCCUGAGAGGGUGGACGGCCACAUUGGGACUGAGAUACGGCCCAGACGCCUACGGGAGGCAGCAGUGGGGAAUAUUGCACAAUGGGCGGAAGCCUGAUGCAGCGACGCCGCGUGGGGGAUGACGGCCUUCGGGUUGUAAACUCCUUUCGACCGCGAGGAAGCCACCUGGUUGGAAGGGUGGUGACGGUAGUGGUAGAAGAAGCACCGGCUAACUACGUG